rnacentral:rRNA from 1 species
UACGGGAGGCAGCAGUGGGGAAUAUUGCACAAUGGGCGCAAGCCUGAUGCAGCCAUGCCGCGUGUAUGAAGAAGGCCUUCGGGUUGUAAAGUACUUUCAGUCGUGAGGAAGGUGUUAAGGUUAAUAACCUUAGCAAUUGACGUUAGCGACAGAAGAAGCACCGGCUAACUCCGUGCCAGCAGCCGCGGUAAUACGGAGGGUGCGAGCGUUAAUCGGAAUUACUGGGCGUAAAGGGCACGCAGGCGGUUAAUUAAGUUGGAUGUGAAAUCCCCGGGCUUAACCUGGGAAUGGCAUUCAAGACUGGUUAGCUAGAGUCUUGUAGAGGGGGUAGAAUUCCAUGUGUAGCGGUGAAAUGCGUAGAGAUGUGGAGGAAUACCGGGUGGCGAAGGCGGCCCCUGGGACAAAGACUGACGCUCAUGUGCGAAAGCGUGGGGAGCGAAACAGGGAUUAGAUACCCUCUGAGACCUCGACG